rnacentral:rRNA from 1 species
UACAGAGGGUGCAAGCGUUGUUCGGAAUUAUUGGGCGUAAAGGGCGCGUAGGCGGUGCGGUAAGUCUGUAGUGAAAUCUCUGGGCUCAACUCAGAGUCUGCUAUAGAAACUGCCGUGCUUGAGUGUGGGAGAGGUGAGUGGAAUUACUGGUGUAGCAGUGAAAUGCGUAGAGAUCAGUAGGAACACCAAUGGCGAAGGCAGCUUGCUGGGCCACACCUGACGCUGAGGUACGAAAGCGUGGGGAGCGAACAGG